GCUGGCGGCGUGCUUAACACAUGCAAGUCGUACGAGAACUCUUCUGCUUGCAGAAGAUAGUAAAGUGGCGCACGGGUGAGUAACGCGUGGGUAAUCUACCUCCGACUCGGGGAUAACAUUGCGAAAGCGAUGCUAAUACCGGAUAAUAUCAAGAAUGCUUCGGUAUUCUUGAUCAAAGGUGGCCUCUACAUGUAAGCUUUUGAUUGGAGAUGAGCCCGCGUACCAUUAGCUAGUGGGUGGGGUAAUGGCCUACCAAGGCUGCGAUGGUUAGCUGGUCUGAGAGGAUGAUCAGCCACACUGGAACUGACACACGGUCCAGACUCCUACGGGAGGCAGCAGUGAGGAAUUUUGCGCAAUGGGGGAAACCCUGACGCAGCAACGCCGCGUGAGUGAUGAAGGCUUUCGGGUCGUAAAGCUCUGUCGAGUGGGAAGAAAAACCAGACACCAAUAAUGUCUGGGACUGACGGUACCACUGAAGGAAGCACCGGCUAACUCCGUGCCAGCAGCCGCGGUAAUACGGGGGGUGCAAGCGUUAUUCGGAAUCAUUGGGCGUAAAGAGCGCGUAGGCGGCCCUAUAAGUCAGAUGUGAAAGCCCGG
rnacentral:rRNA from 1 species